CCAUAGUUUCCAUUAUGGCAAACUUCUAAAUGAAGUGGGUAUUUAAGGGUCCCGUAACCCUAACCCUAGGGACCAUAUUUGCAGCCGCCAUCUCCUUCCUCAUUUCCGGCAGCCGCCUCCACCAUUGAAGCCUCCUCAGCCGUUGUUGGCAUCGCCGGGUCCGAAAACCGUCAUUCCACUUUGCUGCUGCCAUCGACGUCAUUUCUGACGAGUAGAGAAGUUGAGAAGCGCUGGAGCAUCCAAUGCCGUUGCUGAUCCAAACUGCCGACGAGGAGACGUCGAGGAAAUGUCCCAGUCUCCGCUACCAGCCGUCAUCGCUGUUUGUUGCGGCAGAAGAGAGACAUCGACGGUGAGACGUCGAGUGUGUGCAGGGGCUGGCCAUGGCCGCCGUUAACUGGUUCUGCUUCAUGUUAUUUCGUUCAACGCCAUCCGCUGUCAUGGCCGCCGCCGUUGCCAACUUUCUUGUGCUGCUGCCUUCGCUACCCACCUCAGUGGGUGUUGGAUGUAUUUUUUGCGCAAGGGAUGUGUGUUUGUGUACUGUGAUGGGAUGAGGCCGCUAGAGUGUCCUUUGGCCGGAGAUCCAAAGAAACCACCACCGACACCACUAUAGGGUGGUGGCUACCACCAUGUUCGGCCGCCAGCCGCCAUAAGGUGGCUAUGUGUGUGUUAUUUAUGAGUGUGUGUAGCUUAGUAUGUGUUCAGGUAUCGUGUUGUAAUAUUGUAAUCGAUCAGAAUAGUAAGAAAACUCUAAACCACCACCGUAAGGUGGUGGCUGCUGCCUCUUGCCGCCACUAACCGCUGUGUUGGGUGGCGGUGUGCCUCGUUUGCGUUUUGACUCGUUUGGGGAUGCUUGGACAAAAUGGGCCCAAUGAAACCCUAAUGGGCUCAAUGAAGCCCUAACUGACCUAAAAGCCCAACCAUUUGAUUAAUGAGUUGGUAUUUGGGUUGGAAACCCUAAUUAGGGUUUGGAAAACCCUAAUGGCAUAAAACCCUAAUUUUGGGAAAUUAUCGGGACCCACACUUGAAUUAAUUACUAAACUGAAAAUGUUAAUUAAUAAUCAUUGGCAAAUUAACCUAAGGUAAUAUUGGACUUAAUGGGUUAAGUAGGAACACUUAACCCUAAUUGUCAUUUCGUGUGAAAACCCUAAUUUCACUUAGGCCUUGAGUUGGGCCUUCCUAUUGGGCUUUGAUGAUUGGACUAUUGAUGGGCUUUCCAAGAAUAAGUAAAUGGACUAAAAUAAUUGGAUAGGCCUUAGGAUAAGGCUCAUGUGAAGGACUUGGGCCCAAUUUGUAAAAAAUUGGGCCAUAGAUGGGCCAUAACUAGGCCUUUAUGAUUAUGUGAUAUUGGGCCGUGGGAAUACCUUGGACUAGAAUAAUUGAACGAGCCUUAAGGAAAGACCAUGUAGAGGUUUGGUCCCAAUUUAGAAAAUUGGGCCACAUGUUGGGCUUUGGCCCAUUACUUGACUUUUGGGUCUUGGAGUGUGAGAUGGACCUUGGGCUUGGAACCCAAUUAUUAAUUGGGUAUUGUUUGAUGUUGACAGUUCGGGAAUCUGUCAACUAGUAGCUGGAGUUUUAUCUGCGGGACUUCAGCAGUGCCAGGUACAUCAGGGGAUCGCGGCAAGGCGAAAGCAUGAUCGUACAGCUCCUCAUGUUUAGUUUAUGUUUCUGGGAAAACUCUGAUAUUAUACAUUUUGAAAACAAAAAGAUGUAAUGAUUUUUAAUGGGUUGAAAUGUUUUUAAAAGUUCAAAUUUGAUAUUA